rnacentral:rRNA from 1 species
GUGUCAGCCGCCGCGGUAAUACGGAGGGUGCAAGCGUUGUUCGGAAUUAUUGGGCGUAAAGCGCGUGUAGGCGGUCGGGUAAGUCAGAUGUGAAAUCCUUCUGCUUAACAGAAGAAGUGCAUUUGAAACUGCUCGGCUGGAGUACGGGAGAGGAGAGUGGAAUUCCCGGUGUAGAGGUGAAAUUCGUAGAUAUCGGGAGGAACACCGGUGGCGAAGGCGGCUCUCUGGUCCGAUACUGACGCUGAGACGCGAAAGCGUGGGGAGCAAACAGGAUUAGAUACCCUGGUAGUCCACGCUGUAAACGAUGGGCACUAGGUGUAGGAGGUAUUGACCCCUUCUGUGCCGAAGUUAACGCAUUAAGUGCCCCGCCUGGGGAGUACGGCCGCAAGGUUAAA